GCUAGAGAGUGAUUGAGUUGAUGACCAACCUCAUUUUAGCCAUCUGCACUUUGUAAAAGUUCUUUUGUCACACUUUCCAUCCAUUUCUCCUUCUGAAGAAUUUCCACAGGACAAUGUGGGGAUUUUUCAUCCAACAGCUGCACAGUGGGAGGACAGAAGGAAAGUUCAUUUUCACAGAGAUGGGUUCAGCCAGUCCUCUGCCUGGGCAGGAAAGCUGGGGCAUCUCUGCCCAAGGAAAAAGAGUUUUGGUGCUCCCUGGGACAGUGCUGGCUCAGCCAACAGCUCCUGCUGGCUCUUGGGCUCUGC
rnacentral:lncRNA from 1 species